rnacentral:rRNA from 1 species
CCAGGUGUAGCGGGUGAAAAUGGGUAGAUAUUUGGAGGGAACACCCAGUGGGCGAAGGGCGGCUUCUCUGGUCUGUCACUGACGCUGAGGGNUCGAAAAGCGUGGGGGAGCAAACAGGGUUUAGAUACCCCUGGUAGUUCCACGCCCGUAAAACGAUGUGUGCUAAAGUGUUGGGAGUNUUUGCGCCCUUUCAGUGCGCGCAGCUAACGCAUUAAGCACUCGCGCCUGGGGAGUACGACCGCAAGGUUGAAACUCAAAGGAAUUGACGGGGGCCGCGCACAAGCGGUGGAGCAUGUGGUUUAAUUUGAAGCAACGCGAAGAACCUUACCAGGUCUUGACAUCCUUUGACCUCUCUAGAGAUAGAGGUUCCCCUUCGGAGUCAAAGACACAGGUGGUGCAUGGUUGUUGUCAGCUUGUGUUGUGAGAUGUUGGGUUAAGUCCCGCAAAGAGCGCAACCCUUCUUGUUUGUUGCCAUCAUUUAGUUGGGCACUCUAACAAGACUGCCGGUGACAAACCGGAGGAAGGUGGGGAUGACGUCAAAUCAUCAUGCCCCUUAUGACCUGGGCUACACACGUGCUACAAUGGGAAGUACAACGAGUUUGCGAAGUCGCGAGGGUAAGCUAAUCUCCUAAAGAUUCUUUCAGUUCGGAUUGUCGGUUGCAAAUUGCCUACAUGAAGCUGGAAUUGGUUGUUAUUGCGGAUCAGCAAGCUCCGGGGAAUACGUUUCCCGGCCUUGUACACCCCCCCCCUCCCCCCCCAAAGGAGGUUUGUAUAGCAUCCCGGAAUGUCUGGUGCGUGCUAAAC